GUUUGUUUGGUCCAACCAACUUUGCUCCAGUGAAACAGACAUGUGUCCAAGUUUGCCCAGUCUCACCAGGAUGGUAACAACUACUUUGUUCCCCUUGAUCAUCACUGAUGGCAUCAUCUCUGAUCUGCCCGAGACUCGUAAAGCUCUGGUUCACGCUUCCAGUUUGCCCAUGUCAGUUAUUAUUGUAGGAGUUGGCAACGAAGAUUUCUCGGCUAUGGAACAGUUGGACGGAGAUGACAACCGUCUCAGUGCUGAAGGAAAAUAUGCUGAGCGUGAUAUUGUGCAGUUUGUUGAGCUGAGGCGUCACUUUGGCCACACUGGAACCAACUAUCACCUCAGCCAGACCAGACUAGCUAAAGAUGUCCUGGCAGAAAUUCCUCAGCAACUGGUGUCAUGGAUGAAAUUUCAUGGGUACCCUCCUAACACUCCCAUCAUUCAAGGCCCAGUUAAUACACAUGGCCUUGUUUAACAUAAUACAGUAUAUGGGUUACAUUGGCAACAUUAACAGCUGAAGUCACAAGAGUUGAAAAAGUUCUUGUCAGACAACCAUCAAUUAAGCCAAGCACAACUAUCACAGGAUGUGUUGCGUGAGAUCCCCGCCCAGCUGCUGGCUUUCAUGCGCAGGAUCAGUUCUGUCAAGUAAUCUGCCACAGCCCUUGACCAUGGAGCUCUGAUUUAUGCAAUGGAUUAAUAUUUCUUUUGCCUUAAUUUGCUGCAACCUCGUAAGUUUUCUUAAAAAGAAAUCAAAGGAUUUCUGUUAAUAAUGCACUUGUUAACCCGUAAACGGUCCAAACGUAUAUAUACGUUUUUACCGCUAGUGCCCCAAACGUAUAUAUACGUUUUAUAUGUCCUAUAUUUAACAUUGCCACGAUAAGCCUGAGUUGCCUAGACAUAUGAGAAUGGGUGUGAGCACUCACUGUGCACCAUAUUAAAAUAAUUGGGGAUGCCUGGGUACCAAUGCUCUUUUUUCCUAUUAAAAAACAACAAUGUCUUUUUCUCAAAAAAGUUGGGGCAGUACGGUAGUGAACGUAUAUAUACGUUUGGACCGUUUACGGGUUAAAUUUAUUGAUGAAUCUGUUGAUAUGUUUUGGGACUGUAGUGGUUCAUUCUUUAAUACAAUGUAUUGAGCUUUGUUUAAAUACUAAUUACUGAAUGAUAUUCAAAUGGAUGUGUAUCUUACACUUACAGGUUUCCCUCACUUCAUGUUAGUUAUUAUGUGAUGUUCCAUUUCUGUAGUUAUCACAUUUGAUAUGGUUCAUAAAGUGUAUUGUAGGUUCUUAUAAGUGGAAUUAAGUGCUGAUAACCUGAAUGAGCUUAACAGAGCUGCCACAGACCUGGAAUGCAUGUCAAAUGAAGGGAGGGACACCUGCACUUAUUUUGAUAUUGAAUGUGCAUUUUAGUUAACCAUUCUUAUGACAGAUAUUUUCGGUUUAUGAUUUUUUAUAAGCAAGGAAUUUUCAUUUUUUUUUAACCAAGUGUCUCGAAUCUCUCAUUGACCAUUGACAGUUGAACUCACAAAUUCAGGAUCUUCCCAUUUCCUGUAUAUCAAGUAUCUAGUAAUUUUUUUUAAAGGGAUUCCUGUGAAUAGCUGGGAUUGUUUACCAGUUUUUGAGUGGCUUCUCUUAUUUUCUUGGCACAUGAAUCCUAAUUCAAAAGUUACCGUAGAAUUUGGCUGAAAACAUGCUCAUUGAAAUUCCCACAUCCAACACUUCUUUUUGAUUCUGAUUUCUAGACAUUGUUGUGAAUGUCAGUAUUAACCAGAGUAAAGCAAUGAGAACAGAGCUCAAAUAUAAAAGAUAUAUAUGGGCAGAGUUGAGUUGUAGGAAUGUAAAGCUUAUAUAGCACAGUAAACCUUGUAUUAAAUAGCAUUUUUCUCUAAAGAUCUGUUUAACUAAAGCUCUACUUGUCCUAAAGCUCCAUUUAGGGCAAAACUACAUCUAAUAAAAGGCUCACUGUUGUGUGUUUUACAUAAUUAGUUUAUCAGUUAUUCACCAUUCACUACACACUUGGGUUUCAUUUAUAAACUCUGAAUUUGUGAAUAACCCUGGGAGCUUAACAUAGGAAUUUGGGGGUUCAACUACCUUUAGGUAUUAUUGUAUUAAUGUAUCCAUUAUUACUUUAGUAAUAUUAUUAGUACUACAGUAUUAAUAAAUUAAUAGUAUAUUGCCAUUUUUCAAGAUACAGUUUAUGAAUAACUUUAAGUGUAAUGAACACUUCUCAGUAUUCAAUAAUAACUGACAUGGAGACAAACUCAGAAAAUUAGAUCUGUAUAUUUCGACCCCCUGCUGGGGUCCUCUUUUGUGUAUCUGCUGAAGAGGACCCUAGCAGGGGGUCGAAAUAUCUAGGUCAAUUAAUUUUUUUUAGUUUGCCUCCAUGUGGGUUAUUACUGAGCAUAGUUUGUUAUUCUUAAUAGUGAGUAUCAAUUGAUCACUUAAAUCUGGUCACUUAAGAGGAGGAUUACCAUGAUAGAAAUGCAUAUAGAAGUUAGUGUGAUACACAGUCAGGUCUCUUAAAGUUCCUCUGUAUACUGCAAUUUUUCAUAAAUGCAAUUUAAGGAGAUCCAAAAUUGAAUUGCAUAUGGAAAGGCCUUUUGUAAUAUGUGCUGUUCAGUUUUUGAUGAUUUUUUUCAGUUGCACUUGUGAAGAAUUAAAACAUUUUCCGGCAUAUAAGGCACAGUUUUCUUCCCACAAUAAGCCUUGAAAAAUCAGCCUGGGGUUACACUUUAGCAGUUGCCUACUAAUGUUCCAUUACAACUGCUUGGAAACAUCGUCUUGUGUGGCUUACAUGCUCGUGCGCCUUAUAUGCAGGAAAAUGCAGUACUCUAUGUUGUAAUCUUAUGAGGGAGCUAACUGUAGGUAAUGU